GCACAAGCAGUGGAGUAUGUGGUUAAUUCGACGCAACGCGAAGAACCUUACCAGGGCUUGACAUCCUCUGACGACAGCAGAGAUGCUGUUUUCCCUUCGGGGACAGAGAGACAGGUGGUGCAUGGUUGUCGUCAGCUCGUGUCGUGAGAUGUUGGGUUAAGUCCCGCAACGAGCGCAACCCUUGUCAUUAGUUGCUACAUUCAGUUGGGCACUCUAAUGAGACUGCCGGUGACAAGCCGGAGGAAGGUGGGGAUGACGUCAAGUCCUCAUGGCCCUUAUAGGUGGGGCUACACACGUCAUACAAUGGCUGGUACAAAGGGUUGCCAACCCGCGAGGGGGAGCCAAUCCCAUAAAGCCAGUCGUAGUCCGGAUCGUAGUCUGCAACUCGACUACGUGAAGUCGGAAUCGCUAGUAAUCGUGGAUCAGAAUGUCACGGUGAAUACGUUCCCGGGUCUU
rnacentral:rRNA from 1 species